UUUUUUGAGACGGAGUCUCUCUCUGUCGCCCAGGCUGGAGUGCAGUGGCGCAAUCUGGGCUCACUGCAAGCUCCACCUCCUGGGUUCACACCAUUCUCCUGUCUCAGCCUCUCCCAGUAGCUGGGACUACAGGCGCCCACCAUCACGCCCGGCUAAUUUUUUGUAUUUUUAGUAGAGACGGGGUUUCACCAUGUUAGCCAGGAUGGUCUCGAUCUCCUGACCUUGUGAUCCGCCCGCCUCGGCCUCCCAAAGUGCUGGGACUACAGGCGUGAGCCACCGCGCCCGGCCUUUUUUUUUUUUUUUUUUUUUUACCAGGUGGGCUUUUGGCCUCCCUCUCCUUGUGCAAACUGAUAAAAGGCCUCAGGAUUUUUGAGCUGCCCUUACCCCUCCCCUUGUUUAGAUACAUGUUUUCUAGUAACACAAUUUGUCUCUUCUUGCCUUCAGGCCAUCAUACUCCAAACAGUCAUGCAGCUGGAGAGGCGGACAAUGGCCCAUUCUGCUGGGAACCCUUAAAUAGGCCUCUGAGGGACUUUGACUGCUGUUUUGCCAAAACAGCACCCCCUGUCAGCAGGGUGAGUAAAGAGGAGAAAACAAUCAACCUUCUAGAAUGAAUAUGAAGACUGUCACAAAAUAAUUGCAAAGUACCAGUCACUCUUCCCCAAACUGCCCAGAUCGCAAAUCUAGAUCAUCCAUCUGGUCACAUUGUUCUGGUUUGUAACUCAUUACUUUAUUCAUUAAUUUUACAACCACAUAUAUAUGUACAGUCAUUUAAACAGAGUCUACAGAAAA